rnacentral:rRNA from 1 species
GACGUAGGGGGCGAGCGUUGUCCGGAUUUAUUGGGCGUAAAGAGCGUGUAGGCGGCCAAACAGGUCCGUUGUGAAAACUGGAGGCUCAAUCUCCAGACGUCGACGGAAACCGUGUGGCUAGAGUCCGGAAGAGGAGAGUGGAAUUCCUGGUGUAGCGGUGAAAUGCGCAGAUAUCAGGAAGAACACCAAUGGCGAAGGCAGCUCUCUGGGACGGUACUGGCGCUGAGACGCGAAAGCGUGGGGAGCGAACAGG